GAUGAACGCUGGCGGCGUGCCUAAUACAUGCAAGUCGAGCGGACGGACGAGAAGCUUGCUUUUCUGAUGUUAGCGGCGGACGGGUGAGUAACACGUGGAUAACCUACCUAUAAGACUGGGAUAACUUCGGGAAACCGGAGCUAAUACCGGAUAAUAUUUUGAACCGCAUGGUUCAUAAGUGAAAGACGGUCUUGCUGUCACUUAUAGAUGGAUCCGCGCUGCAUUAGCUAGUUGGUAAGGUAACGGCUUACCAAGGCAACGAUGCAUAGCCGACCUGAGGGGGUGAUCGGCCACACUGGAACUGAGACACGGUCCAGACUCCUACGGGAGGCAGCAGUAGGGAAUCUUGCGCAAUGGGCGAAAGCCUGACGGAGCAACGCCGCGUGAGUGAUGAAGGUCUUCGGAUCGUAAAACUCUGUUAUUAGGGAAGAACAUAUGUGUAAGUAACUGUGCACAUCUUGACGGUACCUAAUCAGAAAGCCACGGCUAACUACGUG
rnacentral:rRNA from 1 species